UACGUAGGGUGCGAGCGUUGUCCGGAUUUAUUGGGCGUAAAGAGCGUGUAGGCGGUUAGGUAGGUCCGUUGUGAAAACUCGAGGCUCAACCUCGAGACGCCGAUGGAAACCAUCUGACUAGAGUCCGGAAGAGGAGAGUGGAAUUCCUGGUGUAGCGGUGAAAUGCGCAGAUAUCAGGAAGAACACCCGUGGCUAAGGCGGCUCUCUAGUACGGUACUGACGCUGAGGCGCGAAAGCGUGGGGAGCGAACAGG
rnacentral:rRNA from 1 species